GACGAACGCUGGCGGCGUGCUUAACACAUGCAAGUCGAACGGAAAGGCCCUGCUUUUGUGGGGUGCUCGAGUGGCGAACGGGUGAGUAACACGUGAGUAACCUGCCCUUGACUUUGGGAUAACUUCAGGAAACUGGGGCUAAUACCGGAUAGGAGCUCCUGCUGCAUGGUGGGGGUUGGAAAGUUUCGGCGGUUGGGGAUGGACUCGCGGCUUAUCAGCUUGUUGGUGGGGUAGUGGCUUACCAAGGCUUUGACGGGUAGCCGGCCUGGGAGGGUGACCGGCCACAUGGGGACUGGGAUACGGCCCAGACUCUUACGGGAGGCAGCGGUGGGGAAUAUUGCACAAUGGGCGGAAGCCUAAUGCAGAAACGCCGCGUGCGGGAUGACGGCCUUCGGGUUGUAAACCGCUUUCGCCUGUGACGAGGCGUGGGUGACGGUAAUGGGUAAAGAAGCACCGGCUAACUACGG
rnacentral:rRNA from 1 species